rnacentral:rRNA from 1 species
GAUGAACGCUAGCGGCAGGCUUAAUACAUGCAAGUCGAGGGGCAGCAGGACUGUAGCAAUACAGUUGCUGGCGACCGGCAAACGGGUGCGGAACACGUACGCAACUUACCCAAAACUGGGGAAUAGCCCGGGGAAACCCGGAUUAAUACCUCGUAACAUAAUGAAGUGGCAUCACUUUAUUAUUAUAGCUCCGGCGGUUUUGGAUGGGCGUGCGCCUGAUUAGGUAGUUGGCGGGGUAACGGCCCACCAAGCCUACGAUCAGUAACUGGUGUGAGAGCACGACCAGUCACACGGGCACUGAGACACGGGCCCGACUCCUACGGGAGGCAGCAGUAAGGAAUAUUGGUCAAUGGACGCAAGUCUGAACCAGCCAUGCCGCGUGAAGGAUGAAGGUCCUCUGGAUUGUAAACUUCUUUUAUAUGGGAAGAAAUCCAUCUUUUCUUGGGUGGUUGACGGUACCAUAGGAAUAAGCACCGGCUAACUCCGUGCCAGCAGCCGCGGUAAUACGGAGGGUGCAAGCGUUAUCCGGAUUCACUGGGUUUAAAGGGUGCGUAGGAGGGCAGGUAAGUCAGUGGUGAAAUCUCCAAGCUUAACUUGGAAACUGCCGUUGAUACUAUCUGUCUUGAAUACCGUGGAGAUGAGCGGAAUAUGUCAUGUAGCGGUGAAAUGCUUAGAUAUGACAUAGAACACCAGUUGCGAAGGCAGCUCGUUACACGAAUAUUGACUCUGAGGCACGAAAGCGUGGGGAUCAAACAGGAUUAGAUACCCUGGUAGUCCACGCCCUAAACGAUGGAUACUCGACAUACGCGAUACACAGUGUGUGUCUGAGCGAAAGCAUUAAGUAUCCCACCUGGGAAGUACGACCGCAAGGUUG